GAUGAACGCUAGCUACAGGCUUAACACAUGCAAGUCGCGGGGCAGCAUUUUCUUAGCUUGCUAAGGAAGAUGGCGACCGGCGCACGGGUGAGUAACGCGUAUCCAACCUUCCCAUGUCCACGGGAUAGCCCGUCGAAAGGCGGAUUAAUACCGUAUGAGGUCACAUGCGGGCAUCUAAGUGUGACGAAAGGUUUGGCGGACAUGGAUGGGGAUGCGUCCGAUUAGCUAGUUGGCGGGGUAACGGCCCACCAAGGCGACGAUCGGUAGGGGUUCUGAGAGGAAGGUCCCCCCACAUUGGAACUGAGACACGGUCCAAACUCCUACGGGAGGCAGCAGUGAGGAAUAUUGGUCAAUGGGCGAGAGCCUGAACCAGCCAAGUAGCGUGCAGGAUGACGGCCCUAUGGGUUGUAAACUGCUUUUAUAGGGAAUAAAGUGGUCUCGUGAGACUUUUUGCAUGUACCUUAUGAAUAAGGACCGGCUAAUUCCGUG
rnacentral:rRNA from 1 species